GUCUAAGGGACCUAAUGAGUUAAUUCCAUG
rnacentral:piRNA from 1 species